rnacentral:lncRNA from 1 species
GCUCAGCGUGGCUUCCAGCUGCCCAGCCCGCUCUGAGGACUGCCUAGGGACAGAGGCAAGUGGAAAGGGAAGGCGGGGGUCUUGGGUCAAGGGUUCAGCUUGAACGUGAAGCCCUCAAGACAGGAGAAGGGCCUGCGCCUCCUGGGCCAGGCUGGUCAGUGCCUGGUUCCGCUGUUGCAGCUCCAUGACCUCUCGCUCCAGCUCAGCACAGCGCAGACGUUCAUCCUCCCUGCCGUUCUCCAGC